rnacentral:rRNA from 1 species
GACGUAGGGCGCGAGCGUUGUCCGGAUUUAUUGGGCGUAAAGAGCUCGUAGGCGGUUUGUUGCGUCUAUCGUGAAAACCUGCAGCUUAACUGUGGGCUUGCGGUGGAUACGGGUAGACUUGAGUUCGGUAGGGGAGACUGGAAUUCCUGGUGUAGCGGUGAAAUGCGCCAGAUAUCAGGAGGAACACCGGUGGCGAAGGCGGGUCUCUGGGCCAUAACUGACGCUGAGGAGCGAAAGCGUGGGGAGCGAACAGG